rnacentral:tRNA from 1 species
GCCCAAGUGGUGGAAUUUGGUAGACACAAGGGACUUAAAAUCCCUUGGCUCUUGUGGCCGUACCGGUUCAAGUCCGGUCUUGGGCA